GUUUUGGGUUGGAUGGAAUGGUGUGUAUAGGGCGGUUUUGGGUUGGAUGGAAUGGUGUGUAUAGGGAAGUUUUGGGUUGGAUGGAAUGGUGUGUAUAGGGUGGUUUUGGGUUGGAUGGAAUGGUGUGUAUAGGGUGGUUUUGGGUUGGAUGGAAUGGUGUGUAUAGGGUGGUUUUGGGUUGGAUGGAAUGGCGUGUAUAGGGCGGUUUUGGGAUGGAUGGAAUGGCGUGUAUAGGGGCGGUUUUGGGUUGGAUGGAAUGGCGUGUAUAGGGUGGUUUUGGGUUGGAUGGAAUGGCGUGUAUAGGGAAGUUUUGGGUUGGAUGGAAUGGUGUGUAUAGGGCGGUUUUGGGUUGGAUGGAAUGGUGUGUAUAGGGUGGUUUUGGGUUGGAUGGAAUGGCGUGUAUAGGGUGGUUUUGGGUUGGAUGGAAUGGCGUGUAUAGGGUGGUUUUGGGUUGGAUGGAAUGGUGUGUAUAGGGUGGUUUUGGGUUGGAUGGAAUGGCGUGUAUAGGGUGGUUUUGGGUUGGAUGGAAUGGUGUGUAUAGGGUGGUUUUGGGUUGGAUGGAAUGGCGUGUAUAGGGAAGUUUUGGGUUGGAUGGAAUGGUGUGUAUAGGGCGGUUUUGGGUUGGAUGGAAUGGUGUGUAUAGGGUGGUUUUGGGUUGGAUGGAAUGGCGUGUAUAGGGCGGUUUUGGGAUGGAUGGAAUGGUGUGUAUAGGGUGGUUUUGGGUUGGAUGGAAUGGUGUGUAUAGGGCGGUUUUGGGUUGGAUGGAAUGGUGUGUAUAGGGUGGUUUUGGGUUGGAUGGAAUGGUGUGUAUAGGGCGGUUUUGGGUUGGAUGGAAUGGUGUGUAUAGGGAAGUUUUGGGUUGGAUGGAAUGGUGUGUAUAGGGCAGUUUUGGGUUGGAUGGAAUGGUGUGUAUAGGGAAGUUUUGGGUUGGAUGGAAUGGUGUGUAUAGGGCGGUUUUGGGAUGGAUGGAAUGGCGUGUAUAGGGUGGUUUUGGGUUGGAUGGAAUGGUGUGUAUAGGGCGGUUUUGGGUUGGAUGGAAUGGUGUGUAUAGGGUGGUUUUGGGUUGGAUGGAAUGGCGUGUAUAGGGAAGUUUUGGGUUGGAUGGAAUGGCGUGUAUAGGGCGGUUUUGGGUUGAAUGGAAUGGUGUGUAUAGGGAAGUUUUGGGUUGGAUGGAAUGGUGUGUAUAGGACGGUUUUGGGUUGGAUGGAAUGGUGUGUAUAGGGUGGUUUUGGGUUGGAUGGAAUGGCGUGUAUAGGGCGGUUUUGGGAUGGAUGGAAUGGUGUGUAUAGGGUGGUUUUGGGUUGGAUGGAAUGGUGUGUAUAGGGCGGUUUUGGGUUGGAUGGAAUGGUGUGUAUAGGGUGGUUUUGGGUUGGAUGGAAUGGUGUGUAUAGGGCGGUUUUGGGUUGGAUGGAAUGGUGUGUAUAGGGCGGUUUUGGGUUGGAUGGAAUGGUGUGUAUAGGGUGGUUUUGGGAUGGAUGAGUGUGCUUCUAGUUUCACAUUUUCAAGUUUUAUUUAUCACAUGCACAAGUAGAGUGAAAUGCUUAACUUGUGAGCCCUUCCCAACAAUGCAGUACAUUGAUGCAUGCAGGGUUGUGUGUACCUGUGCAGUUAGGCUAUAUUUCUCAAAGUGUGCAUCAUUGUUGAAUGCAUUACUGUGCCUAGUGUGGCGGAGGUGAGUCAGACUCACGCUCACGUGUUCAGCUAGUCUUCCCCCAGUUACACCAG
rnacentral:lncRNA from 1 species